rnacentral:ncRNA from 1 species
CUAGUAAGCGCGUGUCAUCAGCUCGUGUUGACUACGUCCCUGCCCUUUGUACACACCGCCCAUCGCUCCUACCGAUUGAAUGAUCCGGUGAAGUGUUCGGAUCGCGUCCACAAGGGUGGUUCACCGCCGACGAUGUCGUGAGAAGUUCACUGAACCUUAUCAUUUAGAGGAAGGAGAAGUCAUAACAAGGUUGGAGAAGUCAUUG